UACAGAGGGGGCAAGCGUUGUUCGGAAUUACUGGGAGUAAAGGGCGCGUAGGCGGCCUGCUAAGUCGAACGUGAAAUCCCCGAGCUCAACUCGGGAACUGCGUCCGAUACUGACAGGCUUGAAUCCGGGAGAGGGAUGCGGAAUUCCAGGUGUAGCGGUGAAAUGCGUAGAGAUCGGGAAGAACAUCGGUGGCGAAAGCGCUCUACUGGACCGCAACUGACACUCAGGGACGAAAGCUAGGGGAGCGAAUGGG
rnacentral:rRNA from 1 species